rnacentral:rRNA from 1 species
UACGUAGGGUGCGAGCGUUGUCCGGAAUUAUUGGGCGUAAAGAGCUCGUAGGCGGUCUGUCGCGUCGGAUGUGAAAACUCGGGGCUCAACCCCGAGCCUGCAUUCGAUACGGGCAGACUAGAGUUCGGUAGGGGAGACUGGAAUUCCUGGUGUAGCGGUGAAAUGCGCAGAUAUCAGGAGGAACACCGAUGGCGAAGGCAGGUCUCUGGGCCACUACUGACGCUGAGAAGCGAAAGCAUGGGGAGCGAACAGG